CAUCUAUUCAUCUCCACCACCACCACCAAAGCCUUACUACUACCACUCUCCACCACCACCGGUGCACUCACCACCUCCUCCUUACCAUUACAGUUCCCCACCACCACCUCCAAAGAAGCCAUACAAAUACGCUUCUCCUCCACCUCCAGUUUACAAGUACAAAUCACCUCCUCCACCAGUGUAUAAGUAUAAGUCUCCUCCUCCACCACCGAAGAAGCCAUAUAAAUAUCCAUCUCCACCACCACCAGUUUACAAGUACAAGUCACCUCCUCCACCAGUUUACAAGUAUAAAUCUCCUCCACCACCAGUUUACAAGUACAAAUCACCUCCUCCACCGGUGUACAAGUAUAAAUCCCCUCCUCCACCAGUGUACAAGUACAAGUCUCCUCCACCACCACCUAAGAAGCCAUAUAAAUACCCAUCUCCACCACCGCCAGUUUACAAGUACAAAUCACCUCCACCACCGGUGUACAAGUACAAAUCUCCUCCACCACCAGUUUACAAGUAUAAAUCCCCUCCUCCACCAGUGUACAAGUACAAGUCUCCUCCACCACCACCAAAAAAGCCAUAUAAAUACCCAUCUCCCCCACCACCAGUUUACAAGUACAAAUCACCUCCUCCUCCAGUUUACAAGUAUAAAUCUCCUCCACCACCAGUUUACAAGUAUAAGUCACCUCCUCCCCCAGUUUACAAGUACAAAUCUCCACCACCACCACCCAAGAAACCAUACAAGUAUCCAUCACCACCACCACCAGUUUACAAGUAUAAGUCUCCCCCUCCACCUGUCUACUCACCACCACCAGUUUACAAGUAUAAGUCUCCUCCUCCACCUGUCUAUUCACCACCUCCACCAUAUAAGUACAAAUCUCCACCACCUCCUCCUUAUAAGUACCCAUCACCACCACCACCAGUUUACAAGUACAAGUCACCUCCUCCCCCAGUUUACAAGUACAAAUCUCCACCACCACCACCCAAGAAACCAUACAAGUAUCCAUCACCACCACCACCAGUUUACAAAUAUAAGUCCCCUCCUCCACCUGUAUACUCACCACCUCCACCAGUUUACAAGUAUAAGUCUCCUCCUCCACCCGUCAAUUCACCACCUCCACCAUAUAAGUACAAAUCUCCACCACCUCCUCCUUAUAAGUACCCAUCACCACCACCGCCAGUUUACAAGUACAAAUCACCUCCUCCUCCAGUUUACAAGUACAAAUCUCCACCACCACCACCCAAGAAACCAUACAAGUACCCAUCACCACCACCACCCGUUUACAAAUAUAAGUCCCCUCCUCCACCAGUUUACAAGUAUAAAUCUCCUCCUCCACCUGUUCACUCACCACCUCCACCACACUAUGUCUACUCUUCACCUCCUCCUCCGGUCUAUUCCCCUCCUCCACCACAUUACAUAUAUUCAUCAC
rnacentral:lncRNA from 1 species